rnacentral:rRNA from 1 species
UACGUAGGGUGCGAGCGUUGUCCGGAAUUAUUGGGCGUAAAGAGCUCGUAGGCGGUGUGUCACGUCGGCCGUGAAAACCUGCAGCUUAACUGUGGGCGUGCGGUCGAUACGGGCAUCACUGGAGUUCGGCAGGGGAGACUGGAAUUCCUGGUGUAGCGGUGAAAUGCGCAGAUAUCAGGAGGAACACCGGUGGCGAAGGCGGAUCUCUGGGCCAUUACUGACGCUGAGACACGAAAGCGUGGGUAGCAAACAGG